CUAUACAUGACUCUGCGCAUAUCAAUAAGCGGAGGAAAAGAAACUAACAAGGAUUCCCUAGUAACGGCGAGUGAAGCGGGAAGAGCUCAAAUUUGAAAUCUUCAAGGUUUUACCUUGACGAAUUGUAGUUUAAAGAAGUGUUUUCUGCUGAAGUUUUGGUAAAAGUUCUUUGGAAUAGGACAUCAUAGAGGGUGAGAAUCCCGUAUUUGACCAUUAUUUUCAGCUUUGUGAUACACUUUCAAAGAGUCGGAUUGUUUGGGAAUGCAGUCCAAAAUGGGUGGUAAAUUUCAUCUAAAGCUAAAUAUUGGCGAGAGACCGAUAGCGAACAAGUACCGUGAGGGAAAGAUGAAAAGAACUUUGAAAAGAGAGUUAAACAGUACGUGAAAUUGUCAAAAGGGAAGCGUUUGACACCAGUGUUGUUUUUCUGAAAAUCAAUUAAAGAACUGUUUAUGCUAAGUUGUUUAGACUUUAUCAGCUAACUGUUUAGUUUUGAGCUUUUCUUUAAUGCACUUUUCAGUUAACAAGUCAACAUCAAUUUCUUUUGCUGUAAAAAAGCUUGAGGAAGGUGGCUUGAGAUUCGUCUUAAGUGUUUAUAGCCUCUUGCCUAUGCAGUCGGAGAGAUUGAGGUCUGCAGCGUAGAUCCUUCGGGGCUAAAUGCAUUUGUGCUAAGUUAUAGCAUUUUAUAGACAACUUGUUGACUAUGAUUUGUCUUGUAGCUUACUCGCUUAUGUUAUUUUACCUACGCUUAGGAUGUUGACAGCAGUAUAGACUGU
rnacentral:rRNA from 1 species